AGAUUUUCAGGAAACUAGAUAUUCUGUCUGGGUAGAUUUAACUCUCACUGUUCUAGAAAUACUCCCAUUAGCCUAUGAUCUUUGCUUUGGCAUGGAGUCUGAUGACACAUUGAUACCAUUUUCUGCCUGUUAACCUACCAAAGGACACAAAACCCUCUUCAUUUCCCUAGAAGUACAUGUAAUAUUUCAAAAUGUAUCACGGGGCACAGCCAUCCCAGGAAAAAGAUGUAAGGUAAUGAGAUAACGUGAAGAAUUCUAGGCACUGAAACUCAAUUCUGGUGGUGAUUUUAGUCUGAGGAAACACAACAAAGUUAUUUCACUGCGGACUGCAGGUCCUCAAGCACUAUAACUCCACAUACCAAGUGUGAAGCCACAUGUUCCCAGAUGAGUGAAGGCAGCGCUGGAACCCAGGGCCAAGAAGAAUGGGAUCGUCAUGACUGGCUGGGAAAUGAAUCAUGGGCAGCCCAGACGCAGGGCUUUGAUCAGUCCAGCUUCCUCCUCCUAAGUCAUCACCACCCUCAUUCCAAUUCUAUUCAAGUCAGAGAAUUUAGAUGCGACUAAACUUCUUGUGGCAGAAGGAAAUGUAACAAAAGGACAGUGAUAUCAGAAGUUUCCACCAGAACAUUGCUUGGUGACAUAGUGGUCUUCACCCUGAGCGUCUACAAAUGUAUGUUAAGUUGCUAUUAAGGACCUGUGGACAGAGAAGGCACACCACCACAGUGGUCUGGAACCAAACCCCUGAUAUUUCUAUGAUGUGCCUGUAGAUUGAGGAGGCAGUAGCAGCACUGGGAGCUGGUCCUCUCAGCACCGACAGCAAGCCCCACAGCACCACUGUUGGGUUUUGGCAUGAUCAGCAACCAGGAAUAUUCCCACAACCAUCCCAGCCAGGAGGGGAAAUGGGGUCGUCACCCAGUGUGCAGAACAUAUAAAGACAUCCCUUGGGAACCUCAAAAUUGGAACGGAGAUGGGCCAGAGAAAUACAUUUGUGACUACGUCUGUGACCUGAAUUUUUCCUACCACAGUAUGUGACUCCUCAGCUUCUGACUAAUGGGGUACAGGGGAUGCUACCACAAAAUAUGGCAGCUUGGCAUACUGGGUUUUUUAACCUGAAUUAAAUUGAGAAAACUGUAGAGGCAAGAAAGUCACUCUACCUUCUCCUGCCUUUUUCCCAUGGAACAUGGCUGUAAAAGAAUUUUCUGACCUACUUUGCCUGAAAAUAAGUCCUAAGACCCUCAUUCCAGAGGGGUCCUGCCCUAUACCUGGAGACCAAGAAGAAUCUGAACAAACAGGCCUUCCUAAAUUCUCCACAGCUUAUUACCAUCACAUCCUUUUGUCCUCCAAUCACACUUCUGUACAAGUGACCAUAAAAAUACAGUUUUCCCUGGGCCUUUGGGUCUUCAUUUCUAAAGGCUCCCAUGUCAUGUAAAACUUUGGUUAAAUACAUUUGUUUUGCCUUUGUCCUGUUAAUCUGUCUUUUGUU
rnacentral:lncRNA from 10 species